CCUACGGGAGGCAGCAGUGAGGAAUAUUGGUCAAUGGGCGCGAGCCUGAACCAGCCAAGUAGCGUGAAGGAUGACUGCCCUACGGGUUGUAAACUUCUUUUAUAAAGGAAUAAAGUGAGGCACGUGUGACUCGGUGGAGGUACUUUAUGAAGAAGGAUCGGCUAACUACGUGCCAGGAGCCGCGGUAAUACGGAGGAUCCGAGCGUUAUCCGGAUUUAUUGGGUUUAAAGGGCGCGUAGAUGGGUUGUUAAGUCAGUUGUGAAAGUUUGCGGCUCAACCGUACAAUUGCAAUUGAUACUGGCGGUCUUGAGUACAGUUGAGGUAGGCGGAAUUCGUGGUGUAGCGGUGGAAUGCUUAGAUAUCACGAAGAACUCCGAUUGCGAAGGCAGCUUACUAAACUGCCACUGACAUUGAUGCUCGAAAGUGUGGGUAUCAAACAGGAUUAGAUACCCUUGUAGUC
rnacentral:rRNA from 1 species